AGAUUGAACGCUGGCGGCAGGCCUAACACAUGCAAGUCGAGCGGCAGCACGGGUACUUGUACCUGGUGGCGAGCGGCGGACGGGUGAGUAAUGCCUAGGAAUCUGCCUGGUAGUGGGGGAUAACGCUCGGAAACGGACGCUAAUACCGCAUACGUCCUACGGGAGAAAGCAGGGGACCUUCGGGCCUUGCGCUAUCAGAUGAGCCUAGGUCGGAUUAGCUAGUUGGUGAGGUAAUGGCUCACCAAGGCGACGAUCCGUAACUGGUCUGAGAGGAUGAUCAGUCACACUGGAACUGAGACACGGUCCAGACUCCUACGGGAGGCAGCAGUGGGAAUAUUGGACAAUGGGCGAAAGCCUGAUCCAGCCAUGCCGCGUGUGUGAAGAAGGUCUUCGGAUUGUAAAGCACUUUAAGUGGAGAAGGCAGUUACCUAAUACGUAUCUGUUUUGACGUUACCGACAGAAUAAGCACCGGCUAACUCUAGUGCCAG
rnacentral:rRNA from 1 species